rnacentral:rRNA from 1 species
UACGUAGGGAGCAAGCGUUGUCCGGAAUCAUUGGGCGUAAAGCGCGCGUAGGUGGCCUCAUAAGUCCGCUGUGAAAGUCAAAGGCUCAACCUUUGAAAGCCGGUGGAUACUGUGAGGCUAGAGUACGGAAGAGGCGAGUGGAAUUCUUGGUGUAGCGGUGAAAUGCGUAGAUAUCAAGAGGAACACCUGCGGCGAAGGCGGGUUGCUGGGCUGACACUGACGCUGAGGCGCGAAAGCGUGGGGAGCGAACAGG